rnacentral:tRNA from 1 species
CGGGGUAUGGCGCAGUCUGGUAGCGUGCUCGCUUCGGAAGCGAGAGGUCGUCGGUUCAAAUCCGACUACCCCGACCA